CAAGACAGAAAUGCUGGAGGCAGAGAUACUCACAGGAUUUGGAUGGCUCAUUGCAGCCUGCAAUAAAUGAGCCUGGAUAUGUAACAUCUCUCAGGAUCCAAAUAAAGGGUAUUCCCUUAGAAUCACUCAGUGGUGUAGUCAAAUGGUGCACAGGCAGUGAAAGCCUGCAUUAAGACCGCUGGUACUGGGAAACCUUCAGCUGCCUAGGUACAAAGAGGGAGGAGCUGACGCUGACCAGAUUGAUGAAUUUGCCUGCUCUCAGUGUAAAUCUUCAUGGAAGAGCCUUCUGAAAGAGAAAGUGAAUGCUGAAUUGAUGGGAUUGUGCCUGUAAGCACAGUAUGGGAGAGUUGAUGCCUGAGUCACCAGAAGAUAACUGUUACAUCUACUAUAUAAUCAGUUUCCAUGCAAAGAGUAUCAAGAAAAGUCAGAACAGUUAAUAGUGAGAUCUGUGAACAUCAAUGGAAGACAGACUUUGCUGUCUGCAAAAUGUGUAACAUCUGUACCUGUGAUGUACUUGCUGUACCAUGGAACAAAUGAGGGCAACAUCCACACAGAAGGCCAUGAUGAGAAGCAUCAACAGGCACUGUGGGGCAGUCUCUGCAUCCUCGCUUUGUUCUAACCUAUCAACAGCAUCUUCUUUAGGAAAAAGAUGAUGGGAAGGAGUGAACUAACAAGCAUCUGGCAUUCAGGACAAAUAGUAACCCAAGUAUUGAGUAAUUCUGUCUUUGUGACUGACUAUAUAAAAGUCAU
rnacentral:lncRNA from 1 species